CCUACGGGCGGCAGCAGUGGGGAAUAUUGGACAAUGGGGGCAACCCUGAUCCAGCCAUGCCGCGUGUGUGAAGAAGGCCCUCGGGUUGUAAAGCACUUUCAGUGAGGAAGAACGCCUGGUGGUUAAUACCCAUCAGGAAAGACAUCACUCACAGAAGAAGCACCGGCUAACUCCGUGCCAGCAGCCGCGGUAAUACGGAGGGUGCGAGCGUGAAUCGGAAUUACUGGGCGUAAAGCGCGCGUAGGUGGCUUGAUAAGCCGGUUGUGAAAGCCCCGGGCUCAACCUGGGAACGGCAUCCGGAACUGUCAAGCUAGAGUGCAGGAGAGGAAGGUAGAAUUCCCGGUGUAGCGGUGAAAUGCGUAGAGAUCGGGAGGAAUACCAGUGGCGAAGGCGGCCUUCUGGACUGACACUGACACUGAGGUGCGAAAGCGUGGGUAGCAAACAGGAUUAGAUACCCUGGUAGUC
rnacentral:rRNA from 1 species